GCACGGGCUGACAGCGGCACAUUCAGGCUCUGACUUCUGAAUUCUGAUCUGCCGACGCCAUUUUGAAUUUUGAUUCCAUUUUGUCAAGAUCUGCCAACAAUUAAUGUCAACUCCACUUGGAAGUGAAACAAUGUCAUCCAAUUCAGUUCCUCUUAAUACAAUUGCAACUGAGGUCAAUCAACAAGCACCAACAGAUUCUAGUCAACAAACUAAUGAUGAGAAUGAUGGUGCUGAUUGUAUCAUUCAGAAAAAGAAGCGAAAAACUUCAGGUAUUUGGGAGGAAAUGGACCAAGUUGAGACUGAUAAUGGGCUCAAAGGUAGAUGCAAGUAUUGCAAACAACUAUUUGCAUACUCAGGUAAGG